rnacentral:rRNA from 1 species
GACGAACGCUGGCGGCGUGCCUAAUACAUGCAAGUCGAACGCUUCUUUCCUCCCGAGUGCUUGCACUCAAUUGGAAAGAGGAGUGGCGGACGGGUGAGUAACACGUGGGUAACCUACCCAUCAGGGGGGGAUAACACUUGGAAACAGGUGCUAAUACCGCAUAACAGUUUAUGCCGCAUGGCAUAAGAGUGAAAGGCGCUUUCGGGUGUCGUUGAUGGGUGGACCCGCGGUGCAUUAGCUAGUUGGUGAGGUAACGGCUCACCAAGGCCACGAUGCAUAGCCGACCUGAGAGGGUGAUCGGCCACACUGGGACUGAGACACGGCCCAGACUCCUACGGGAGGCAGCAGUAGGGAAUCUUCGGCAAUGGACGAAAGUCUGACCGAGCAACGCCGCGUGAGUGAAGAAGGUUUUCGGAUCGUAAAACUCUGUUGUUAGAGAAGAACAAGGACGUUAGUAACUGAACGUCCCCUGACGGUAUCUAACCAGAAAGCCACGGCUAACUACGUG